rnacentral:rRNA from 1 species
AUUGAACGCUGGCGGCAGGCCUAACACAUGCAAGUCGAGCGGUAGCACAAGAGAGCUUGCUCUCUGGGUGACGAGCGGCGGACGGGUGAGUAAUGUCUGGGAAACUGCCUGAUGGAGGGGGAUAACUACUGGAAACGGUAGCUAAUACCGCAUGAUGUCUUCGGACCAAAGUGGGGGACCUUCGGGCCUCACGCCAUCAGAUGUGCCCAGAUGGGAUUAGCUAGUAGGUGGGGUAAUGGCUCACCUAGGCGACGAUCUCUAGCUGGUCUGAGAGGAUGACCAGCCACACUGGAACUGAGACACGGUCCAGACUCCUACGGGAGGCAGCAGUGGGGAAUAUUGCACAAUGGGCGCAAGCCUGAUGCAGCCAUGCCGCGUGUAUGAAGAAGGCCUUCGGGUUGUAAAGUACUUUCAGCGAGGAGGAAGGCAUUGUGGUUAAUAACCACAGUGAUUGACGUUACUCGCAGAAGAAGCACCGGCUAACUCCGUGCCAGCCGCCGCGGUAA